rnacentral:rRNA from 1 species
GAUGAACGCUGGCGGCGUGCCUAAUACAUGCAAGUCGAGCGAACAGACGAGGAGCUUGCUCCUCUGACGUUAGCGGCGGACGGGAGAGUAACACGUGGAUAACCUACCUAUAAGACUGGGAUAACUUCGGGAAACCGGAGCUAAUACCGGAUAAUAUAUUGAACCGCAUGGUUCAAUAGUGAAAGACGGUUUUGCUGUCACUUAUAGAUGGAUCCGCGCCGCAUUAGCUAGUUGGUAAGGUAACGGCUUACCAAGGCAACGAUGCGUAGCCGACCUGAGAGGGUGAUCGCCCACCCUGGAUCUGAGACACGGUCCAGACUCCUACGGGAGGAAGCAGUCGGGACUCUUACGCAAUGCGCGAAAGCCUGACGGAGCAACGCCGCGUGAGUCAUGAAGGUCUUCGGAUCGUAAAGCUCUGUUAUUAGGGAAGAACAAAUGUGUAAGUAACUAUGAACGUCUUGACGGUACCUAAUCAGAAAGCCCCGGCUAACUACGUG